rnacentral:rRNA from 1 species
GACGAACGCUGGCGGCGUGCUUAACACAUGCAAGUCGAACGAAGAGCGAUGGAAGCUUGCUUCUAUCAAUCUUAGUGGCGAACGGGUGGGUAACGCGUAAUCAACCUGCCCUUCAGAGGGGGACAACAGUUGGAAACGACUGCUAAUACCGCAUACGAUCUAAACUCGGCAUCGAGGAUAGAUGAAAGGUGGCCUCUACAUGUAAGCUAUCACUGAAGGAGGGGAUUGCGUCUGAUUAGCUAGUUGGAGGGGUAACGGCCCACCAAGGCGAUGAUCAGUAGCCGGUCUGAGAGGAUGAACGGCCACAUUGGGACUGGGACGCGGCCCAGACUCCUACGGGAGGCAGCGGUGGGGAAUCUUCCGCAAUGGACGAAAGUCUGACGGAGCAACGCCGCGUGAGUGAUGACGGCCUUCGGGUUGUAGAGCUCUGUUAAUCGGGGCGAAAGGCCUUCUUGCGAAUAGGGAGAAGGAUUGACGGUACCGGAAUAGAAAGCCACGGCUAACUACGUG